GGCGGAGAAGCUGAGGAACAAGAAAAGUGGACAAAGGAAGCGAGAGGAGGGCUGGCGAGAUGGAGAGAAGCCACUUCUCGCGUUGGGAUUGGUUUUAGGUGGUUUCAAAACACUUAGUUUCUCAUUUGCUGCAUCAUAUCCUGGUAUAGUCUUCACUACCACCAUUAUUGAAAACAUUGGCAAUUUCACCAGUUAAGGUACAUGAAACUUGGAAUGGGAAGUGGCAAAGUUGAUAUGAGGGGAAGCAAGCCCUACAGCAGCCUUGCAAGGGAGUGAAGGAAUCUCCGCAGUGUGGCAUGGAAAGAGUAUGUGUGUGUGUUUUAAAGAAGAUUGGCAGAGGUCAGAUCCCUUUCCUAAUAACGAGCAAAAGCAGAAGAUGUCUCUAGCUUCAUUUCAGCACAAUGAACUGAUAACAUGAUUUUCAGAGCCUGCCUUCUUGUAGGAGGAGCUUUGCAAAACGCAACUUGACACCUGAGGGAAUUUACAGGUCUAUGGAAGCAUGAAGUUCUGGUUUGAAACCUGCAAGCACAUUUCUCCAUUUAUAUUGCAUCUUUUAGGAAAUUGGUAAUUGCAUUAGGUCAAGGGGAAUGUCUGAUAUCUUCCAUUAUCUAUACAUUGUGUAACAUGUCUGUAGUUUUUAUUAAAAUAGCAUUU